UCUCUUUCUUGAUUUGCCCAGCUCUCUUACAUUCCAUGAAAGGAUUGUCAUUUGGGUUAAUCUAAUUUUCGUCUGUGGUCUUUUACUGCCUAUAUAUCAUUCUGCUUACUUAAAGUAUUUGGUCUAUUGGUUAUCUAUGAGUUUCAUCUGUUUUGAUGUUUGGCCUACUGUAGCAUCUCUUUGUAACUUGGUUGUACCC
rnacentral:lncRNA from 1 species